GUAGAAUAAUUCAUGUAGAAUUAUUUCUGAUGUGAAUCUUGAAUUCUUUUCUGUGGAAAAAGAUUUCUGUAGAAACGAGUCUGUAGAA